ACCAGACUCCUACGGGAGGCAGCAGUGAGGAAUAUUGGUCAAUGGGCUUACGCCUGAACCAGCCAAGUCGCGUGAGGGAAGACUGCCCUAUGGGUUGUAAACCUCUUUUGUCAGGGAGCAACGCCGGCUACGUGUAGCCGGACUGAGAGUACCUGAAGAAAAAGCAUCGGCUAACUCCGUGCCAGCAGCCGCGGUAAUACGGAGGAUGCGAGCGUUAUCCGGAUUUAUUGGGUUUAAAGGGUGCGUAGGCGGUCCGUUAAUUCAGCGGUAAAAGUGCGGGGCUCAACCCCGGCGAGCCGUUGAAACUGGCGGGCUGGAGUUGGAGAGAAGUAUGCGGAAUGCGUGGUGUAGCGGUGAAAUGCAUAGAUAUCACGCAGAACUCCGAUUGCGAAGGCAGCGUACCGGCGCCCAACUGACGCUGAAGCACGAAGGCGUGGGUAUCGAACAGGAUUAGAUACCCCGGUAAC
rnacentral:rRNA from 1 species